rnacentral:rRNA from 1 species
CUCCAGACUCCUACGGGAGGCAGCAGUGGGGAAUAUUGGGCAAUGGGCGCAAGCCUGACCCAGCAACGCCGCGUGAAGGAAGAAGGCUUUCGGGUUGUAAACUUCUUUUAAGAGGGACGAAACAAAUGACGGUACCUCUUGAAUAAGCCACGGCUAACUACGUGCCAGCAGCCGCGGUAAUACGUAGGUGGCAAGCGUUAUCCGGAUUUAUUGGGUGUAAAGGGCGUGUAGGCGGGAAAGCAAGUCAGAUGUGAAAACUAUGGGCUCAACCCAUAGCCUGCAUUUGAAACUGGCAAACUGGAGUGUGUGAGAGGAUAGUGGAAUUCCAGGUGUAGGAGUGAAAUCCGUAGAUAUCUGGAGGAACAUCAGUGGCGAAGGCGACUAUCUGGCACAUAACUGACGCUGAGGAGCGAAAGCGUGGGUAGCAAACAGGAUUAGAUACCCUCGUAU